GAAUUUACCUGCCCAAUGAUUAUUUUAAUGGCCGCAGUAUUUUAACUGUGCAAAGGUAGCAUAAUCAUUAGUCUAUUAAUUGUGGACUUGUAUGAAUGGUUGGACGAAAUAUUUACUGUCUCUCAUUUUAUUAUAUAAUUUGAAUUUUUGGUUAAAAUGCUUAAAUUUUAUUAUUGGACGAGAAGACCCUAUAGAUCUUUAUUAUUAUUAAUUUUUAUUUGUUUGGAUUGUAAUUUAUUUAUAUUUAUUUUAAUUGUUUUGUUGGGGUGACAUGGGGAGAGGCUUAACUCUUUAUUUUUAUUAUCACUAAUUAGUGUUUUUUUGACCUUUUAUUAAUGUUAUAAGAUAUAGAUACCUUAGGGAUAACAGCGUAAUCUUUUUUGAGAGUUCUUAUCGACAAAAGGUGUUGCGACCUCGAUGUUGGAUUAAGAUUAUAAUUAGGUGUAGUUGCUUAAUUAAUAGGUCUGUUCGACCUUUAAAAUCUUACA
rnacentral:rRNA from 1 species